rnacentral:rRNA from 1 species
UACGGAGGGUGCGAGCGUUGUCCGGAAUCACUGGGCGUAAAGGGCGCGUAGGCGGCCAUGCGUGUCUUCCGUGAAAUCCCUCGGCUUAACUGAGGACGUGCGGAAGAAACUGCAAGGCUCGAGUCCGGGAGAGGAGGGUGGAAUUCCCAGUGUAGCGGUGAAAUGCGUAGAUAUUGGGAGGAACACCGGUGGCGAAGGCGGCCCUCUGGACCGGUACUGACGCUGAUGCGCGAAAGCGUGGGUAGCAAACGGG